rnacentral:piRNA from 1 species
UCCCAUUUGAAAAUAAGAUACUAAGGUGCUU